UGGGGAAUAUUGGACAAUGGGCGAAAGCCUGAUCCAGCCAUGCCGCGUGUGUGAAGAAGGCCUUUUGGUUGUAAAGCACUUUAAGCGAGGAGGAGGCUACUUAUAUUAAUACUCUAGGAUAGUGGACGUUACUCGCAGAAUAAGCACCGGCUAACUCUGUGCCAGCAGCCGCGGUAAUACAGAGGGUGCGAGCGUUAAUCGGAUUUACUGGGCGUAAAGCGUGCGUAGGCGGCUUUUUAAGUCGGAUGUGAAAUCCCUGAGCUUAACUUAGGAAUUGCAUUCGAUACUGGGAAGCUAGAGUAUGGGAGAGGAUGGUAGAAUUCCAGGUGUAGCGGUGAAAUGCGUAGAGAUCUGGAGGAAUACCGAUGGCGAAGGCAGCCAUCUGGCCUAAUACUGACGCUGAGGUACGAAAGCAUGGGGAGCAAACAGG
rnacentral:rRNA from 1 species